UACCAGCACCCCGAGUGGUCGGGACGAUUAUUGGGCCUAAAGCAUCCGUAGCCGGUCCUACAAGUCUUCCGUUAAAUCCACCUGCUUAACAGAUGGGCUGCGGAAGAUACUAUAGAGCUAGGAGGCGGGAGAGGCAAGCGGUACUCGAUGGGUAGGGGUAAAAUCCGUUGAUCCAUUGAAGACCACCAGUGGCGAAGGCGGCUUGCCAGAACGCGCUCGACGGUGAGGGAUGAAAGCUGGGGGAGCAAACAGG
rnacentral:rRNA from 1 species